CCACAAGUUUAAUUGAGCUCAGCGCUUGUCUGGGUGCAGGGAAAAGCAGAAGGUUUUUACGUGAUAGGACUGUUAGGUGAUAGGACAAGGAUGGGCGGAGGCUCGAUGUCCAGAGAACUGGCGAGGCGCUUCCCCUUCCUUCGAAUCCCGGGGUGACCCCACUGACUUUCCAGCCUGGGGACCUGGGAAGGGCCUCUGAGUGGCUUCCUGCCCACGGGGCUGGUCCGCCGUUCAACCAGCCCUCCCCCCACCCCUUUGCAAGGAGUGGUUUGCACCUGCAGUUUGAGUGACGUUACAGGUAGUGGGAGGCAGCUGCGCCCGGCUUCCACUCCAGAAAGAGGGCUGCAGAGAGCAGGGGCCCGACGCACAGUGCUCUCUCCUGCCCAGACCUCUGUCCCUGGCCCAUGGAGGGGUACAGCCCCCUGCCCCCAGUCCUCCCAUUCUCAGCGGCAGCUUUUGAAAGGUGCAAGGGAGCCGAGGCAGAGAUCAGAGAACGCAGCCACUGAAAGACCACACUUGGAAUCUUGGAAACCCCUUUCCGGAACCCCUUUCCUUCUUGCCAUCUGCAAUGCAGAGCAGUGGCUUUCAUGGUAGCAGUGGGGACGACGGUGACAACCCUAAUAGCUGAUGCUCACACGGUGCUCGCUCUGUGGCAGGCACCGUUCCAGACGCUGUCCGUGCACUGACUCGUUUGGCCUUCCUGACGGCUCUUUGAGGCAGGUGUCCUCAUCGUGGCUGUCGACAGGACUCCAUGGCUGGCUCCUCCACACCAUCAGGAAGCACGUGGCCCUGUGGCAGCAAUUCUCUGAGCCCGAAAAAGAAGCAAAAGGAAUAUUUGAUCACAAGUGGCUGCUGUCAGCCUGAGUCUCUGAAGUCCCAGGCCGGGUGCUUGUGCCCGCCGGCGGGGAGUCCUGCGAGGCCUCUCCUUCCCAUCCACAGCCCCAGCCCGGGACUCUGCAGUCACCUCUGCAAGGGAGGUUGCAGGACACGGUACGUGUUGCUCAGAUGGCGCCCUUCCUUGGCCAGGAAUGUGGUUCCUUCAACGGAGCGGUGAGCAGUGGGUUCCUGUCUGAAGUUGUGCAGAAAUGCCCUCAGAGCCCUCACCACCCACCUUCCCAGCUGCCUCGUCCUAGCAAGAGAGGAAGGGUGCCUUGGAAAAAGCGAGGCUUUUGGAAGCAGUCAAACCUGGGGUUCAGAUUCAGCUCCCGAUUACGGCUGGCGGCGGCUUUGGUGAAGUCACCGAACUUGUGUGUGCUUGUUUUAGGGACAGAACGCUCCGUUGCUGGGUCUGAGUGGAGGGCUACAUGAAACCAGGUACGCAGGGUGCCUGGAUGUGUGUCUGGCCUGCAGAAGGAACUUGAUAAACAGUAGAUAUAAUUAAGUUGGUUCAGGGAGUUCGGGGAGCAGUGAGGUCCAUCCCCCACCUUACAGGAGGCCUAUGCCUAGUGUACCCAGGACUAAUGUACUGCUGUGAUUCUUUAAGGUUCUAGAGACAAGGAAGUUUUGAAACUUCCUGGUGUAUCCAAGUCCCUGUUUCAACAGCUGUCCUCUGUGAUAAUUCGGGUGUUUUUGGUCUAACCUGAGUCCCUCAAGCUGUAACUCCAGUUAAUUUUCUUUUGUCUCCUUUUCAGAAGAGACUGAGUGAGAAUCACCCAGUUGUCUUCUGAUAUUUCUUCAGGAGCAGAAAGACUUUUCCCCACCUGUGAAGUACAGAAUCCCAGGGCUCACUGGGUCCUAAUCCUGUUUCAGAGGUGCAGACAAUGGAUCCAGAGGGAUCUUACCCAGGGCCUUACCCAGACCCACAAAGCAGAGUCUGUGGCAGGUGCAGGGACGAGAAUCCCCCCCCCACUCCCACGCCCCUCCCCCCCCCCCCAGCUUCCCUGAUCUGACUCCCACUGUUCCACCUCCUGUUAUGGCACCUGCUCCCCUUCUCUGAACACCCUGCACUCUAGAACUUUCUUGUUUGCUUUCCUGGAUUAAAAAAAAAAAAGAGUGAGGAUAAAAUGAAAGAAUAAAAGGACUUUCCAAGGAGGCUAACUGUGCCCCCUAUUCAAGGAAGGGAUGUGAGCCCCCCCGGGUUGCAGAAGCGUUGGGACCCGCCAGGGCGCCAGGGGGCGGACAGUCCAGCAUCCCCACUCUCAUCGGCAGGCACCGGCUGAGUCCCAUAAUCAACACCAUUAUCUCCGGAUAAUAUUCCCUUCUCUCGGCAAUACGGUCCGUGAAAGGAGCCCGACGCAGGGCCGCGUUUCUGGGACUAGGAGAAGGGGGGACGUGGCCUUGAUUGCAAAUGAAAAAUUAAGCCCGCGUGCCUGGCAUUCUGGCGGCGUGAUUGCGUCCUGCCCGCCGCGUCCCGCCCACCCGGCCGCCCGAAGGGGAGCCCGAGCCAUCUACGCGUUCUUUGGCUCGCCUCGCGUUUAGCAAAUCUAUAAUGCAUUUAAUCUCCGAAAGCCACGGCGCUUGGCUUUAAAUGCCUAAUUUGCUGUCGAGAGCCCCUGCAAUUCUCUCUCCGCGGUCCCGGAACUUGAGGCUUUUGUUUGUCCAAUCAGCGGGGCUCCCCAAGCGGUGGAGCGCUCCGAGCUGUGCCCUUAAUCCCCUCGGAGGGGGCACGAGAUCCCCACACUCCUGUCCUGUCCCCCCACCACGAGUGACUUCUCAGGCAGACUGCCCGGGAGCCCGGGGUCGCCCCCAGCGUUCUGCACCCUCUCCAUCCCGCCCGGGCCCUGCCUGCACUGCCAGGAUGAGAAGGAACCCGCGGGCUGCAGGAGCGAGACAACCCCUGAGCGGACAAUUAUUGCACGAUGGGAUCAGUGCCUUAACAGAGGUGUGUACAGAGCAGGAGGUGACUCCGGUUCUCUUGGAAAGCUCAUAGAAACUUGCCCACCUCGCAGGCAAGUAGAUGUCAUUCAGUGGGCAGCCCAAGACAAGGGGCACCUGUUCCGCGCGUGCAGAGGAGGAAAGUAUUCUUGUCCUGUGACCUUGAAGGGCCCAUGGAGAUGUCUUGCAAGAAUAUGCAUGCAAAAGAGAUAGAUGGAGUCAACCAUAUGUAGUUAGAUACAGACACACACAGCUGUAUAUGCAUAUAUGAGUAUAUAGUCUUAUAAUUCUAUCACUAUUUGCAUAAUUUCUGUACGGUAUUCGUUUGCGGUCGGGGCUGCCACAACAAAGUGCCACAGACUGGGUCGCUUAAAAGACCGAAAUUUACUUUCUCACGGUAUUCUGGAGGCUGGACUGAGAUCGAGGUGUGGGCAGGCUGGUUGCUCCUGAGGCCUCUGUCCUCGGUGUGCAGAUGGCCGUCUUCUCUCGUGUCCUCACGUGGUCUCCCUCUGCGUGUGUCUGUGUCCUAAUCUCCUCAUAAGGACACCGGUCAUGUUGGACUGGGACCCACCCGCCUGACCUCAUGUUCAAGGCCCUCUCUCCAAAUACAGUCACGUUCUGAGGUAUUGGCGUUAGAACUUCAAUAUAGGAAUGGAGGAGACAAUUCAGGGCAUGCCAAAUGUGAAUCUAUAUUUAUGAAUUGAUUUAUUUAACAUUUCUGUCCAGAAGUGUUCCCUAGUGCGUGACCUUUCCGGGAAGUGGCUUGCGGGGAGAGGACAGAUCUUGUUCAAAUGCACGGGGCAGCGAUGAUGUGUCUCGCCACCUGAGGGAGGCGAAAGGCUACUUCUCACAACCAACUCUCAGGCCUUUGUAUCCAGCUCGGUCGUUUCAGUAGUCCCAGAGGCGACCUCUGUGGUCAGGGAAACUCCGGGCACCCCUCAGUUCAGAGGUCCAGGGAGCCCCCGAAAUGCCAGCCACAUGGUAGUCUUUCCUAGGAAGGAGGUUUCACCUUGGAAGGGGCUCACCUCCCAUGAGGAUGGGAGCUGAAGCCAGAUAAUUGGGCUUCUUGACUCCUCGAACGCUGGUCUUACAUCAGUUAGAACUCUCCUGUUUGCCAGUGACAGACAUAAGACUCACAUAGGCUUUAAAUCAAGACAGAGUCUUAUUGGCAUAUGUAACCAACAACUCCGGAGGGUAGACCUAGAUUUUCAGAAAUGGCUGGAUUCAGUCAGCACGAUAUUUCCACCUACCAGCCCCGUUCCCUUUUAUGUCAGCGUCUUAAGGCAGGGCUUCAGCAGUGGCAAGGUGACUGUUCCCAGCUCUGAGCCCACAGCCUGCCAGAGCCAAAUCCAAUGUCACAGGGAGAGAAAGGAGUUCUCAACAGACUCAUUCAAACAAUUUUUUUUUAAUGUCUUGUGUCUCAUUGGAUUUGUCUAGGGUCACAGGGACAUCUCCCAAACCCGCACUGCAGCCAGGGAAAUGAUUGACCGAUCAUUCCAGAGUUACAUGACACAUAGCCACCCCCCUACUCCCUGGAGCCAGUGACAUCCAGAGCAGGGACAGGAGUGAUUCCCCAGAGAGAAAUUGGGGUUCUUUUUCCCUAAAGAAGGCCACACGGCUGCCAGUUGGUAAAAGCAAAAGACAUCCACUGUAGACUCAGAAGAGGCUUGCGAAACAAAGGCAAAGCAAGGUUGUCCUGGUUGUGCAUUUCAGGAAUGUUUCUGCUUGAAUAGUAGUAGCAUUGGGUUUAAUUAUAUUACAAGUUUCCUGCUUCUUACCUAAGCUAAUUUUAUUUCUGUGGAGUGGACUAUUGUUUCUAAGAGCAAGAAAUACUUUUCUUAAGUAGAUAAAAAAAAAAAAAAGGAGAAGAACAGUGGUUAAGUAAGGCCUAGGGCUCUGGAGUCCUCACUCUGUCACGGAACAGCCAUUGGAUGUUGAGCAAGUUACUUAACCUCUCCGAACUUCUUUUCUGUCUACUAACUGGGGUUACUAAAAGCUUCUUCUCAUUA